UGAAAGUCAGAGUCAAGAUGGGAAUCUUGUGUCAUCUCCGAGUCUGGCUAUCCCUGUGAGCUAAAUAAACUCAGUGGUCUCAAUUCAACAGACAUUCAUUGGGCCUCAACUGUGUGCCAGGCCCUACUCUGGGCUCUGAGGUGACAGAGGCCAAAAAGACAGUCAUUGCUCUGUAGGAGUUACAAUCUUGGGGGUGGGGGGAAAGGUUUGGUGGCAGAGGGGUGGAGGAAUAGGCUGGGAGGCAGCCUUUUAUUUGGAGUGCUGCAGGUCUCAGUGAGAUAGAUGUAAGCAAACCUCACACCUCUGGAAAAUUUGAAGUUGGCCACUUUAGUUAGCUGGUCAUUUCACAAACUCUAAUAAGUGCUUCAUUCUGCAUUAGAAACACAGGAGAAAUCAGAUGCCUGUUAGAUGGACUAAGUAAUUGAGGAAUAAUAGCAAUUAUUCCAUGAACUGUCUAUAAAGAACAAGGCUGGUAAACCCAGAAGAUCCAUAAACACAAACAGGAGAAUCCUAGAGAGUUUUUUAAAGAGAUUUUACCAGGAUUAACAUGAAAUUAAAUCUAAGCCAAAGAUUUUGGGGUUUUUUGUUCUUCUGUUCUCUUAACCUACCCCACCCCCUUCCCUUUUGGCGUGUUAUCUCUUUGCUCUACCCUGAGAGCCUCACCUCGGCCCACUUCUUUCUCUCUCAAGGAAGGGUGGGGUUUCAGCUAACUCCUGCCAAUUUGAUGGAGAGUUUUAGGGUAUAGUCACAAUCCAAAAGAGCCCUCGUGGGGUGUGGUCAGGCCUAUGGAGAGGGGUACUGGGUUUGAGAACCAUCAGAGGUUGGUUUCUCACUGGAGGCUGUGAUAGGGAUAGCUGAGGGGGCCUGGGCAAAUGAUAGUAAAUAGUCAUAAUAGUUUCUAAUAAAGCCACCUUAGAACAGGUCUCCCCCAGCAGCCCUUGUUAAAAGAGGCAUUUAAUCACAGUAUCACACUAUAUGCUGAUUCUCUGCAAUGGCCCUAUGACUUUUUGAUAUUUUGUUAUUUACUGUCUAUCUCCCAUUCUUCUGACAUGCGAACUUCAUAAGAGCAAAGACUUUGGCUGUCUUGUUCACUGUUGAAUCUCCAGUGCGUACCUCAGUGUCUGGCACACAGUAGUUGCUCAGUACACUGCAUGUAUCAGGCUCUGUGCUAAGCCUUGACAUGUCUCAUUGAAUCCUUACACCAACCCUGUGAGAUAGGCACUUUUAUUACCCUUAUUUUAGAGGUGAGGAAACUGAAGUCAUUAAGUAAGUUACUCAAGCUGCAGAGCCCAGAAGUGGUAGAGCUAGAGCUGGGAUUUGACCUGGAGCAGAGCCUGGCUUCCCAGCCACUUCACGGAGCUUACUGGUGGCAAGAGGGCCAUUUGUGCCAGCUGUAACUGCAAAGCUUACUGUAGCCCAAAGGAUGGCACACUUGUCUGUGUACCUGUCUGCCUGUCUCCUGGAAGGCUGUGGAGUUUCUGUCAGCUGUGUUGCAACUGAAAGGAUUAUGGCUGCCCAUGAGCCACUGUUCCAAAAGGAUAUGGCACUCUUGGCAUGGUGGAGAGAAGCAAAGUUAGGACCACUGAGGUAAGAACCAGCCAGAGCAGGAGACAGCCAGAGAAAGGAGUGGCAGGAAGAAUGCAGCCUUAGUCCUGGAGGGAGAGGGCCCACUGGGAAGAACAGAACCCAGCUGGCUCAGUCCCGGAGGCCCACUCUUUCCAGGGACCUGGCCUCGGGCCCUAGCAGCCCACCUGCUAUUGUGGGCCAUCACCAGCCUGCAUCUUAAAAGGACCAUUAAAUAGGAUACUGCCCACUUCCAAAUAAAA